rnacentral:misc_RNA from 1 species
CUCACAUGGAUAUUAAAACAACCUCACAACCGUAGCCAUGAAAAUUCUUGGACAAGUUCAUACGAAACUUGUGCCAGGUUCGAUCCUGAAUCCAAGUAUGCUCAAUGAUGGGCAUUGGCAAUUGAUAUUUCUUCAUAAACUUUUUACUACUCUAGAAUUUUAUAAAGGCACGCAUAUCAACAGAAAACAAGCUCAAACCAGGCUGUCAAUAGCAUACCAACAAAAUUCCAACCAUAUGAAUACUUGUCUUAUUGUAUCCAUCGAGUCUCAACAAGGCGAGCAUCUAAUGUUGUAAAAUCUUUGCAACUACAUUGAAACAUCAAGAUGUAAAUAGAAAGACUU